rnacentral:rRNA from 1 species
GUGAGGAAUAUUGGUCAAUGGACGAGAGUCUGAACCAGCCAAGUCGCGUGAAGGAAGACGGUUCUAUGAAUUGUAAACUUCUUUUGUGCAGGAAUAAAGUGGGUUACGUGUAACCUUUUGUAUGUACUGUACGAAUAAGGAUCGGCUAACUCCGUGCCAGCAGCCGCGGUAAUACGGAGGAUCCGAGCGUUAUCCGGAUUUAUUGGGGUUAAAGGGUGCGGAGGUGGAUUGAUAAGUAAGCGGUGAAAGUUUGCAGCUUAACUGUAAAAUUGCCGUUGAAACUGUCGGUCUUGAGUGCAAAUGAGGUAGGCGGAAUGUGUUGUGUAGCGGUGAAAUGCUUAGAUAUAACACAGAACUCCGAUUGCGAAGGCAGCUUACUGGGAUGCAACUGACACUGAUGCACGAAAGCGUGGGUAUCAAACAGGAUUAGAAACCCGUGUAGUCC